UAUGCACUAUUCUCUCCAGUACGAAAGGACCGAGAAAAUAAGACCUAUCCUCAAAGCAAGUCUUUUUUCCCCGAAGCAAUAUCAAACCAAAAGUACCCCUUUACCCGAAAACAGGGC
rnacentral:rRNA from 1 species